rnacentral:rRNA from 1 species
ACGGGAGGCAGCAGUGAGGAAUAUUGGUCAAUGGGCGGAAGCCUGAACCAGCCAAGUCGCGUGAAGGAUGAAGGUAUUAUGUAUUGUAAACUUCUUUAGCAGCAGAGUAAUAAGGGGGUCGUGACCCCCGAUGCAAGUAUGCUGAAAAUAAGGAUCGGCUAACUCCGUGCCAGCAGCCGCGGUAAUACGGAGGAUCCGAGCGUUAUCCGGAUUUAUUGGGUUUAAAGGGUGCGCAGGCGGUUUUUUAAGUCAGUGGUUAAAUCGUGAGGCUCAACCUCAUCACGCCAUUGAUACUGGAAGACUUGAUUGCGGUUGAGGUUGGCGGAAUUCGUCGUGUAGCGGUGAAAUGCAUAGAUAUGACGAAGAACACCGAUUGCGUAGGCAGCUUACCAGACCGUAAAUGACGCUCAUGCACGAAAGUGCGGGGAUCGAACAGGAUUAGAUACCCUGGUA